GCCAUCAUUUAAAGAAAGCGUAAUAGCUCACUGGUCGAGUCGGCCUGCGCGGAAGAUGUAACGGGGCUAAACCAUGCACCGAAGCUGCGGCAGCGACACUGUGUGUUGUUGGGUAGGGGAGCGUUCUGUAAGCCUGUGAAGGUGUGUCGUGAGGCAUGCUGGAGGUAUCAGAAGUGCGAAUGCUGACAUAAGUAACGAUAAAGCGGGUGAAAAGCCCGCUCGCCGGAAGACCAAGGGUUCCUGUCCAACGUUAAUCGGGGCAGGGUGAGUCGACCCCUAAGGCGAGGCCGAAAGGCGUAGUCGAUGGGAAACGGGUUAAUAUUCCCGUACUUGGUGUUACUGCGAAGGGGGGACGGAGAAGGCUAUGUUGGCCGGGCGACGGUUGUCCCGGUUUAAGCGUGUAGGUGUGUGUUCCAGGUAAAUCCGGUUCACUUUAACACUGAGGCGUGACGACGAGGCACUACGGUGCUGAAGCAACAAAUGCCCUGCUUCCAGGAAAAGCCUCUAAGCAUCAGGUAACAUCAAAUCGUACCCCAAACCGACACAGGUGGUCAGGUAGAGAAUACCAAGGCGCUUGAGAGAACUCGGGUGAAGGAACUAGGCAAAAUGGUGCCGUAACUUCGGGAGAAGGCACGCUGACACGUAGGUGAAGUGAUUUACUCAUGGAGCUGAAGUCAGUCGAAGAUACCAGCUGGCUGCAACUGUUUAUUAAAAACACAGCACUGUGCAAACACGAAAGUGGACGUAUACGGUGUGACGCCUGCCCGGUGCCGGAAGGUUAAUUGAUGGGGUCAGCGCAAGCGAAGCUCCUGAUCGAAGCCCCGGUAAACGGCGGCCGUAACUAUAACGGUCCUAAGGUAGCGAAAUUCCUUGUCGGGUAAGUUCCGACCUGCACGAAUGGCGUAAUGAUGGCCAGGCUGUCUCCACCCGAGACUCAGUGAAAUUGAACUCGCUGUGAAGAUGCAGUGUACCCGCGGCAAGACGGAAAGACCCCGUGAACCUUUACUAUAGCUUGACACUGAACAUUGAGCCUUGAUGUGUAGGAUAGGUGGGAGGCUUUGAAGUGUGGACGCCAGUCUGCAUGGAGCCGACCUUGAAAUACCACCCUUUAAUGUUUGAUGUUCUAACGUGGACCCGUUACCCGGGUUGCGGACAGUGUCUGGUGGGUAGUUUGACUGGGGCGGUCUCCUCCUAAAGAGUAACGGAGGAGCACGAAGGUUGGCUAAUCCUGGUCGGACAUCAGGAGGUUAGUGCAAUGGCAUAAGCCAGCUUGACUGCGAGCGUGACGGCGCGAGCAGGUGCGAAAGCAGGUCAUAGUGAUCCGGUGGUUCUGAAUGGAAGGGCCAUCGCUCAACGGAUAAAAGGUACUCCGGGGAUAACAGGCUGAUACCGCCCAAGAGUUCAUAUCGACGGCGGUGUUUGGCACCUCGAUGUCGGCUCAUCACAUCCUGGGGCUGAAGUAGGUCCCAAGGGUAUGGCUGUUCGCCAUUUAAAGUGGUACGCGAGCUGGGUUUAGAACGUCGUGAGACAGUUCGGUCCCUAUCUGCCGUGGGCGCUGGAGAACUGAGGGGGGCUGCUCCUAGUACGAGAGGACCGGAGUGGACGCAUCACUGGUGUUCGGGUUGUCAUGCCAAUGGCACUGCCCGGUAGCUAAAUGCGGAAGAGAUAAGUGCUGAAAGCAUCUAAGCACGAAACUUGCCCCGA
rnacentral:rRNA from 2 species